GCCUGGGUGGCUCAGUCGGUUGGGCGUCCGGCUUUGGCUCAGGUCACGAUCUCACGGUUUGUGGGUUCGAGCCCCACGUCGGGCU
rfam:Felis catus isolate Cinnamon breed Abyssinian chromosome D2, whole genome shotgun sequence.